AGCACCUGAAACUUAAAAUAAAAUAAAAAUAAAUUCUUAGGAUCAAGUCCCACCCCAGCGGCUGGCAACUGCAAUUUUGGCAUCCAUUUCAAUGGAGACAAUAUUGUCACCUAUGGAGGUUUCACUCAGAAUAGAACCAGAUUCUGAGGGUGGGGAAGAUCCAAGGAGAGACCAUCAGGAGCAGUUUCCAAGGAGACUACCUCCUUGUGGGCUGAAUCUUCAGCAGGUGCAUAUUAGCUCAUUUCCAGCGAAGUCUGCAGGCAGAAAGACAACUUUUCACAGACCUGUCUUACCACCUACUUCCUGUUUUAUUCUUUCAUGGAUGCAACUUUCCCUGCAGGAAGAAGGGAACAGUUUUCUCCAUGUACCUGUUGGGGGAGAGAAACAAGGCUGCUUCAACCAUCAAUCUGUGGGACCUCAGAUCUCAGCCUGA
rnacentral:lncRNA from 1 species